AAAAUAGUAUACCAAUCAGGUGCGCCUGUUUUCCGCAGGCGAUAAUAGGGAAGAGGGUGAAAAUCCCUCGCUGCCCCGCAACUGUAAUCGGUGACGAACGCCGCUGUGUGCCACUGGGAUUUCUUGGGAAGGCGCGGCCAGUAGGAUGAUCCGAGAGUCAGGAGACCUGCCCGGUUGGCAAUUCAGGA
rnacentral:ncRNA from 2 species